ensembl:processed_transcript Gm26871 predicted gene, 26871
GCGGCAGCAGUGACAGCGGUAGCAGAGGCAGAGGCAGCGGCAGCUUGGCCCUCUGACUCUCUUCGGUGACGGGUAUUCUUGGGUGGAUAAUACGGAUUACGUUGUUAUUGCUUAAGAAUACGCGUAGUCGAGGAGAGUACCAGCGGCAGGCGGGCAGCGGCCGCCCCUCCCAGCCCACCAGCUGGCCACUAAAAGCUCCCGGUUGCCAAGAAGUGUGAGCGAGUAAUUUUGCUGGAUGUCCACGUAUUUCAGUUGAGCCAUUUGAAGACAUUAGGAGUGGGGUUAUUGAAGCCCUCCCUUGCUCUAGGACAAUGCAAGCCUGCCUCUGUGUUCACCACAGGUAUGUGUUCAUGAGUUCUUCCUUAAUAGAUUGCCCAGAUAUCACAGAAUUGCGACACUUUGUUUAGUAUAUGGUCAUGGUGAAUAGUACCUAUCUGUAUUUUUAUUAUUUUAACAAAAAUUAAAAUUCUCAGCCUAUCCUAUGUUAUGUAAAGCAAGUAUCCACACCCAAUUGUCUCUUCUUCUAUGAAAAAAACAAAACAAAACAAAAAAACCCCAAAAAAACCAAAAACUUGUCACUUCUUUCAGAAAAUCUACUUCCAGUUGGUUAAAGUUUGCUCCACCUCCAUCAAAUAUACUUUUUUCCAGAUUAUUAAGUUUUUAAAACAUUUAUUUUUUUACAUCCUAAUUCUGUCCCCCC